AUCACUUCUCGGCCUUUUGGCUAAGAUCAAGUGUAGUAUUUUGUCCUUUCAGACCAACUAGUAUUUGGUCUGUAACUGUUGUUACAAUUAUUAUUUGGUCUGUAUUGGAACAAUUAAGAUUUCUCAAUAGAUGAAGGCAGAAACAGGGAAUACUUGUUUCUCUGAUAUUCUAGCUAUA
rnacentral:snRNA from 1 species